rnacentral:lncRNA from 1 species
UGAAGGCAUAAAUUUAAGGUGGCCGGUUUCAAAACUUAUUGUACUGAAUCAAGUGGAGGGCAAUUCACUGAUAUGCUCAAUGGUCUGAGCCCAACUUGUUCAAAAAUGCAGUCAAGAGAAAUGGUUGGUGAACAAGAUCCGUGUUCAGGUCAUAAUAUGGACCUCAGUUGAUGGUAAUGGAGGUAGACCAUCUUUGACAUUCAAGUGGUGACCAAGCAAAUUGAUCUUGA